GCGUGCGUAGUAUAGCGGCAUUACAUUCUGCUCUCUGAGCGAAGGACUCGGGUUCGAAUCCUGACCGACGAC